AGAGACCGGCGCACGGGUGCGUAACGCGUAUGCAAUCUACCUUUUACAGGGGAAUAGCCCAGAGAAAUUUGGAUUAAUGCCCCAUAGUAUAGUUUUUUCGCAUGAAGAGAUUAUUAAAGUUCCAACGGUAAAAGAUGAGCAUGCGUCCCAUUAGCUAGAUGGUAAGGUAACGGCUUACCAUGGCGACGAUGGGUAGGGGUCCUGAGAGGGAGAUCCCCCACACUGGUACUGAGACACGGACCAGACUCCUACGGGAGGCAGCAGUGAGGAAUAUUGGACAAUGGGCGCAAGCCUGAUCCAGCCAUGCCGCGUGCAGGAUGACGGUCCUAUGGAUUGUAAACUGCUUUUGCACAGGAAGAAACACUCGGACGUGUCCGAGCUUGACGGUACUGUGAGAAUAAGGAUCGGCUAACUCCGUGCCAGCAGCCGCGGUAAUACGGAGGAUCCAAGCGUUAUCCGGAAUCAUUGGGUUUAAAGGGUCCGUAGGCGGUUUAGUAAGUCAGUGGUGAAAGCCCAUCGCUCAACGGUGGA
rnacentral:rRNA from 1 species